rnacentral:rRNA from 1 species
GCUUGUCUCAAAGAUUAAGCCAUGCAUGUCUAAGUAUAAAUAAAUCAUACUGUGAAACUGCGAAUGGCUCAUUAUAUCAGUUAUAGUUUAUUUGAUAGUCCCUUACUACUUGGAUAACCGUAGUAACUCUAGAGCUAAUACAUGCGCAAAUUCCCGACUGCCGCAAGGCGGAAAGGAUGUAUUUAUUAGAUCCAACCAGCCCGGUUCGCCGGAGUCCCUGGUGAGUCAUAAUAACUGAGCGAAUCGCAUGGCCUUGCGCCGGCGAUGAAUCAUUCAAAUUUCUGCCCUAUCAACUUUCGAUGGUAAGGUAUUGGCUUACCAUGGUCGCAACGGGUAACGGGGAAUAAGGGUUCGGUUCCGGAGAGGGAGCCUGAGAAAUGGCUACCACAUCCAAGGAAGGCAGCAGG